rnacentral:rRNA from 1 species
ACGAACGCUGGCGGCGUGCCUAAUACAUGCAAGUAGAACGCACAGUUUAUACCGUAGCUUGCUACACCAUAAACUGUGAGUUGCGAACGGGUGAGUAACGCGUAGGUAACCUGCCUGGUAGCGGGGAUAACUAUUGGAAACGAUAGCUAAUACCGCAUAAUAUUGAUUAUUGCAUGAUAAUUGAUUGAAAGAUGCUAUUGCAUCACUACCAGAUGGACCUGCGUUGUAUUAGCUAGUAGGUGAGGUAACGGCUCACCUAGGCGACGAUACAUAGCCGACCUGAGAGGGUGAUCGGCCACACUGGGACUGAGACACGGCCCAGACUCCUACGGGAGGCAGCAGUAGGGAAUCUUCGGCAAUAGACGAAAGUCUGACCGAGCAACGCCGCGUGAGUGAAGAAGGUUUUCGGAUCGUAAAGCUCUGUUGUAAGAGAAGAACGGGUGUGAGAGUGGAAAGUUCACACUGUGACGGUAUCUUACCAGAAAGGGACGGCUAACUACGUG